ACACCACCGACGAACCGACGUUUUAACUUAACGGAAAAUAAUUCAAAUUUGCUGCCCACGACACCAUGACGAAAAAUCAUCGAACACUACCGCUACCUCCAUAAUGGCUCGCGAAGUUUUCAUAGCUCAGGCACCAACCUACGUGUAUUAACAUUGCAGCGGAGUUGUGUCUUAGCUCAUUUGACAGGAGUGUUCGCCCGCAAAAGCGAAUGACCGUUAAAAAGUGUGAUCAAACAAUCAGAGAGCGCAGGUGACACGUCGGUUCGUCGGUGAUUACACCGUGUCCUUAGCUUCCAUUGUUUGAAAUACAGAGAUCACAGAGCAGCAAACCUUGAUCGAUUUUUUAAACUUCAAGAGAUCUUUUCAUCUGUGGUACAAUAAGUCCCAUUUUUUAUCCAGGAAGCGAAAGCUAUAUAAUACGCAGCGCAGAACUUGAUUUUUUGAUGACUGAAUAGCUUACAUCAGUAGUCAAUUGAUUAUGCCCAGCUUUCUAUUGGAUUAAACACUGUCAAAUGUAUGAAAUUUUGAAUCAUCUGGAGCGAUGUUCGCAAAUAUCUCCGGUAAAAUACAAACUUUUGAGACUGUUGAACAUAAAUUGGUAUAUCCAGCCAGGGACGGAGACUGUGGGUGCCCAACAUUUGAAAACCAAUAAAACAGUUGCAUAAAUUGUUAAGACAUGCAUGGAAGAAUUCGCUCAACACCAAAAACUCGUCCUCGGUCGAUUGGGGUAGUGAACAUCUAAAAAGAUGUGGUAAGCAAUUCUUAGUUUUUAUAUAUUUAAACAGGCCGGAACAAAUUUUAUCUGCUUCUUCUUCUGUCUUCUCAAAUAUUCGUGGCUAAAUUUAAUUAUUUGAAAAAUAAUGAAAGUUUGAGCUUUCAUAUAAAAUGCUUUAAGAAAACUGAUAAGUUUUUUAUUUCUAGAUUGCUUUGAGAAUAGGUCGUAUGUGCAAAAGAGAGAUUCUCUUUGAUCACGCUCUCUUUCGCUAAUAUAUCGGCUAGUUUGGCAUGUUUUGCUACAUUUCCACUUCAGCAUGAUAGACAAAGCUAUUGUCUUUGUAUACAUGCCAAGAAAUUCGAAGUAAACUGUUGUAUAGUUUCGUAAUAAUCGAAAGAGAAUAGAUCCAAAGAGAGACUCUCUUUUGCACAUACGACCUAUUUUCAAAGCACUCUAGAUUUCAGCAAUUUAUGGCUUAUUUUUUUUUUAUUUCCUAGCCACUUCAUUACUGGAAGACCGGCCUAAUUGGAGACUUCAUAAAAUAUAAGCUCAGUGGGAAAGUUUAAAGCUCACUCGCCGCAUCCAGCUUAACAGAGCCGAUGUUCAUCUAAUACUACUUAGUAUUACAACCCUUCCCAUUUUUAUUUCCCAAAUUUUUUUUAACCUUCUCAAAAAUUUCCAUCUGAUUCGCGUUGAGGAAACACUGAUCCGUACAAGCUUUUUUUGCAUCCAUCUCUCUACUUCGCUUUGACUGACUGACGGUGUUUUUUCGUUACUUCAUUAUAUUCGGACGAUGAAUUAGAUACAUUAAUGCUGUCCAAUGAGCAGCUCGAAGUAGCUCGAAGUUGUUCCCGUCCUGCUCGUUCUUUUUUGUCAACAAAUGGGCAUGAGCAGGACAGAGAGAAACUUCGAGCUACUUCAAGCUCUCAUUGGACAGCACUAUUGUCUUCGAUGUCAAUCCACUCGUCAUCGUUUUGCGGUCGUUCUUCUGCUGCUGAUUUAGGAGGCGUUGAUGGUUUUUAAUUUGUGUUUAACGUUGGGAAUUCGGCCUGGUCGAACACCUCGUCUUGUGAGGAAAUUGUUGAUGAAAUUGCCGCAAUAUUUCUAUUUGACUGUUCACAGGUUUUGUUUGGAUGCGCUGGUUUAUCACACCGGCGACAUAUUUUCGGCUGGUUACAGUAAGGUACCAUACAGGUGUACUCGCCAGUUGAUAUGAAAGACGGAAUGUGUUGGAGUAAGUUCAUACGCAGAACUAGUACACCGUUCGGAAUCCCCGGAAAGUUAUGCUUCCAUGACUCGUUCCGAAUAGAAAUAACUUCUCCAUAAGCAUAUGCUCGCGUAAAGUAGCAUGGCUUAUCGAACCGGGUAAGUCGUGAACUCUAACGAUUACCGCAUCCCUAUCCAUAUAAAUUGGUAUCUUGUAUGACUUUCCUUCACACACAAUUGAUCGCUUGCAAUUGUGUUCUGAUUGAUAGCGCAAAGCGACUUCUUUGUCUAUCAACCCUAUAAGAACACAAUUGCGGGUGUUAUGCAAUUGGAUGCUUUUGACAUCCGCAUAUUCGAUCUUUAGCUGAUCAUCCAGAAAACGCUUCACUUUUCCGGCAUAUGGACGAAUUGGGAGGACACCGAAAUCCACUACUAUUGUUGAUUCCUGCGUAUUGUUCAUUGUUUUCACGUUAGCGAGAGACAACAAACCAGAACGCGUCCGCCGUGUGCGAUAGCAGAAUAAAAACUGAAACAUCUUAUGAUGUUUUUACAUAAAAAUCCGGGUUCUUAUGAUCUACUGCCAAAAAUUUGUGAUUAGUAUGUGACAGUAAUUUGAUAAAACUUUACUCUAAACACUUCAAAGUUUGAGAUUCUGAACCACAAGUUUUAAUGUGAAAUAUUUAAAUAUAAAAUGCACUAAUUUCAGCAAAUCUCAUAUUUCAACUAUUGUCCAUCUGGCGGUCACAAAUUCAUUUUAUCUCUAAUGCAACAUUUCAUCGCAAGUGAAGAAAAUCUAAUAUAUAUUUUUCAUACAUUUCGUUAUGAUAGGAUAAAAGCGUAUGCAAUUCCACCCCGGGCCCCCUAAUUUACGCCAAUGGACAUAUAGCGUCGUAAAAAUGAUUAAGCGAGAUAUUUCCUCAAUUUUAGAAGAGGGAAUAGAAAAUACGGGCAAAGGAUAUAAAAGCCAGUAAUAUUCUAUAGCACCAGUGGAUGAUACACGCUCUGAUACACGGCUCCAACGUGCCAGCAGAGAAAGCACCAUCUUGGUCAGUAGUUUUACGUGUCACAGUCUUUCUUAUUGAUGCGGAAUUGAAGCAAUUCCUUGACCUUUUUUGAUCCUCAGAAUACCUAAAAUGCAGUUUUCCUACCUACCUACAUUGAGCAUAAACGUUCACAUUUACCCACUGCGGCUGAAGAUAGCUUUAUAUUUAGAAGCCACUGCCGUUCUACGCAUGUUGUAUAUAAUCUUUUUUUUAACCAAAAAGAAGUAAUGCUAUGGCUUGCAGGGAAACGUCUACAUAAAGUAUGACCAUGUAGUAUGUUCUAAGGAAUUAUUGUCUGCUCUCACAGGAUUAAAAAAAAACAAUGGAAACAUUUUCAAAUCAUUUUUUUAAUAAAAUGACAAAAUUAUUCGAGUUUGGAUUUUUGACAAAGGUUGCAUUAUCAACCGAAAAAUAUUGAAAAAUACUAUUGUGGAUUGCUAAAUGACAACCUCACACAACCGGUCCUGGAUUUAACUAAAGAAAGUCAAUACAAAGCCUUCAGAUACAAUUCGAGAAAGUAGUUAACACAAAUAUUGAAUUGUAUCGCCAGUUUCUUUAUACAGUCAAACCUCCAUGAGUCUAUAUUGAAGGGACCGUCGACUAAUAAAAAUAUCAAGAUGUGGAACAAAAAAUCGUUGGGAAACUGUUUGAAGGGAUCAUCCCAGCUUCCAUCAGUCUAUACCGAGUCAUAGAAUAUCGACUCAUGGACGUUUGACUGUAAUUAGAACAACAUUCAUGAUCUGAUAUUUAGUUCCGCAUCUUCCAUCUUAUGGUACCGUGACCUGCCCUAAUUCCGCGCAUCGCCUAAUACCGUGGUUUUCAUCAAAAAUCAGAACCUGGCUAUCAUGGACAUCGUAUUAUUUGGUGAAAUGUUCAAACAUAUUAUUUGUGAACAUUUCACCAAAUAAUGUGAUGUCCAUGAUAGCCAGGUUCUGACUUUUUAUGAAAACCACGGUAUUAGGCGAUGCGCGGAAUUAGGGCAGGUCACGGUAGUAUAUUAUGCUGGUAGUAAUGUCUAAAUAUGCAGAAAUCUAUGAAAAACAUCAUUGCAAAUGUUUAUUGUUCAAGUCCUCUCGAAACAACCCGAAUUCUUUAUGCAUAUCUCAACGUAAAAGAACAAAAUGUCAUCCUAAAGAAGCAAAAAGAAAAGACGAUCAAAUCGUCACAAAAAAAUGCCCCAACUAUUUUUUUAUUACUAGGCCUUAUUAUCCAGUGUCAAUUCGUUAAUCAAUUAUUAUGAUUAUACUAUUUUGCUUAGUUAGAAGUAAACGAUUGUGAAAACAGCUCUCAUUUUUAUAACAAAAUUAAGAUUUAUUAUGGUAAUAUUGGAAUAUGUAAAAAUAUUUUAAAAAUACAAAAAAAAACAAAAAAAAAGAAAACUACAAAAAAUUUGAAUGUAACACAUAGAAAAUAUUACGAGCAGCGUUAUUUGUUUCAUUAUUGUUUCACAAUGUAGACAUUUUAGAACCAUUGUGGCGCCAUAGUGAAACGUUCAGCGCAGCGAUUAUACGUAGACAUUAACAUGUAUUAAUAAUUUAUAUUGUGAGAAAACAAAAAAAAACAAAAGAAACAAAAAAAAUUAAAAAAUCAAAAAGCCGAAAAAACUAUUAUUGAUGAAACCUAGUGAUUAAUGUUUAACUAUAUAUGUAUGAUAUAAAAAUAUAAACUAUUACACAAAAACUGAAAGGAAAUAAUAGAAGCAAAGCAUAUAUUUAAAAAAAGAACUUAUGUGGAAAAUCUAUAAAUGUACUUUUUACUAGAACAAAAAUAAAAGAAAACACAUGAUAAGAAGUGAAACAACAUAGUGGUAUGCCUACACAACUAAAUUGGUUUUGCUGAUAUUAGCAAUCAGUUAUGUCGGAAAACUUGAAUCAGCAUAAAUUCAACUAGAAACUAAGGCAAUGAAGAAUUUUGCUUUCCUCAAUGCUUUAUUUCCUGUUCCGUAUUAGGAUUUGCACUUGAUCAACUUACUGAUUGCUAACUCUCGUAAAACAUGACUGGAACAGCGAAUCCACUGUGACCGCAUCUAAUUCUGCGCAUAUUUUGUAAACUGAAAUAUUCUUGAAAUAUAUAAUUCUUGCUUGAUAUAGUGAUAUUUACUCACCUAUGGCGGCUGUUUGAAUUUUUGAAUUACCUAUGUCUAACUUUUGUGAAGACAUAAAAUGUACACAUUAUUGUGCGCAGAAUGUAAUAUUCCUAAAUUUAAAUUUCUUUUUUUUAUGUCAGUGGAAUCAGGCUUCAGAGUUUAAAUAAUCUUCAAAUAAAUGUCUGUGAUUUUGAUACACAUGCCAAAUUUUGUUUCAGUAUCUUUUACAAUCCAUAAACUGUGAACCACAAAAUGUUUUGAUAUUGUUAUGUAACCAGAGUUUCCAUUCUACAUCAGAAGUAUACAGGAGUGUACAAUGAACCAUGUUGAAACAAAAAGUAGAAGGUGGAUUCUAAUCAAAAUUUCCGUUACGGUAUCUGGAUGGUAAUUUUCAGGCAUGAAUUUAGUUAGUCUCCCAUUAAAACAUAUUAUAGACACGAGUCUUGGAUAAAAAAGAAGUUUCACUCGAUGUUACUUAAAUAUUGAAGUGUGUUGCAUUCUCAAAUUCGCAAGAAGUUGUUUUCUCUAUUUCUACUUUCGUUGAAUGUAUGUUGUAGCUAGCGAUUGUAAUGUAAUACGUUUUAUUAAAAGUUAUUUUUGGCGGUCUAUCGAAACGUUGGUUUAGAAUUACCGUUGCUUUCAAUUUCGUUAGGUUGUUUCAUAUUCUGCAUCAUUUAUUUGACGAAAAAAUAACUAGGAAAGAAAAGCAUGGAAAAUUGAAUAAAUUUUAGGUUGCUAAGCCUUUGAAAAAUCAUCUGAAGCAAUUUUUUAUAAGAAACUAUUCUGAUGGAAUUUGAUUCAGGUGCCAACAUGCUGAACUCUGACCGAAUUUCUAAAAGAUUCCAUUCUUUGGCGGAGUUCAUUGAAACGAUUAAGAAAAAUACGGAUUGUUUGGAGGAGUUCUGCUACAUUAUGAUGCAACUUAUGAACGACUACAUUGAGCAACUCCUGAUAAUAUCUAUGAAAAUCUUUUAGAUAGUUCUUCAAAAACCUCUUGUGGGUGUUUCUAGGGAAACACUUUCGUGAGAAGUCUGCAAAUUAUUGUGUAGGAUUUUUAGAAGUUUUGGAAGUAUUUUCUGAUAAAUGUGAUGAAAUUUAAAAAAAAAUCUAUACGGAAUAUAAGAACAAAGCCUUGAAUUCCUAGGGUAUAGACAUAUGCCUACACGAAAUUACUAUUUUAAAAUAAAUGCCCAUAAUUUUUCCAUAAAACACGUAGUUCAUAGAGGGACUUCUGGAAAAAAAAUCCUCUGCAUACAACUAGAGAAACGUUUGAAAAAAUAUCUGAUAAAGAAAUCUCACGGAAAAAAAAUCUAAAAACAUUUUUUUAGGGUUUUAGAAAACAAAUCUAUAAAAAAAAAUGAUUAGAAAUGAAAAUUGGGCACCAACACACAGCGAAUUUUGAGGGAUAAUAAAAAAGACAAACUGCAGAUACUGAUUUAUUGAGAAUGCUUUUUCUCUCGUUAUUUUUUUCUUGCAGCUAUGCGGUUUAUUGAAUACCUAAAAUCGUAUAUCUACACCAUAACAACCUAAUUUAGCUUUGAGUUGUAUAUGAGCUUUGAGUAAUUAAACUUUAAAGUUUAAGAUGUUAGCAUUGCAUGAUAUUACAGUACACAUUGCUUUAUGUGGCCAUAAUUGUAUCGAAUUGAUCAACAUUUAAACAAUCAUUGUAAAAUGUUUUUCGUUAUAUUACUACCAACUAUGUUGUUUCCUCCACUCAUUUGUUGCACUAUUGCUGACAAAACAUGGGUCUUAGUAAAAAAAAACUAUGGAUGGAUACUGAGAAAACGUAAAAAUCAAUGAUAAUGUUUGAUGGUUUAUGAACUGCAGAGCUUGUUUGACUUAACUCCAGCACUACUUGGCUCAAUGGCUCAAUCAUCGCAGAAAGAACUAAAGCAGUAUUAAUCGAUAUGGACAAGAUUAGGAAACCACUGAAGGAAUAUCACGGUAAGAAAAAAUCGAUUAAAUACAACUAAUUUUUUUUCGAAUCUAACCCAAAAAAUUAAGCCCAAUUCCAUAAAAAAAAAGAUAAUACUUUGGAUUAAUCGUUAGAGAUCUUAUUCAGGCAUAAUAAAUCAUAUGCAAGUUAAAAUACAGCGAAUCAAUCCUACAACCAACAAAAAUCGUUCAAUAAAUAUAUGCCACAUUAAGUUCGAAAAAACAACAAGUUUUGAGUUUUUGUGUAAUUUUUAUAACUACUGCUAUAUGUUGAUAAUUUAUUUUAUUGCACGCAUAACAACCCGCAUGGAACAGAAUGAAUCCAGAAUCAAAUUUAAAAAAUAAAACUAUCACAAAUCAUUGAAAAA